rnacentral:pre_miRNA from 1 species
UGGACAGAUUAUUGUAUUCGACUUUAUUCGAUUGUCUUCACAGCGUGAAACAGGGGGUUACACUGGUUUUAAACGGAAAGUGAAUCAAUUAACAUAAUAGACUCUA